CUUAAUUUGACUCAACACGGGGAAACUUACCAGGUCCAGACAUAGUAAGGAUUGACAGACUGAGAGCUCUUUCUAUUUUUUUGAUUGAAGAUGUAAAUAUAUAUGAUAUAUAAUCAGAAAUG
rnacentral:ncRNA from 1 species